CUAAAAACUAGUUUUCACAUUGAAUUUUUGCAUGAAUAAAACUAAGUUAACAAGGAUUAAUAAUAAUUAUUAUUAAUUGAAAUACCUAUGUAACCUACAAAAAUUUAGUGACAUUCAUUUUGAGCACAAAUAAAUAACAUUAAUUUGACUGGUAAGGUUGUUUUUCAUAAUGUAAAUAGUUAGAUAAGGCUAAAAUUGUGACAAAGAGAAAACUAGAUAUCCAAAUGCAGGAACAAACUUAUGGAAACUAGCCACUGUCCACAGAGUAAAAGAGCUGAAAAUAUGAAUGCAAUUGUACCGCUUUUAAAAUAUGAAUAAAAAAAAGACUAGGA